UCUGUGAAUACUCUCCAAGAGGUCACUCUCCCCAGACUCUGUGUAGGUGGCACGGGGGGGCACAGGGCUCUGCCCUACAACGUUCAGUCUCUUUCUACGACAUGACAUUGGAGAUGAAGCCGGACUUCAAGUCUGUGCCUGCAUAUUCCUGGUACUUCUCAGGGUCUUGCUGACUGAGGAGACAAGCAUGCAGGAAAAGGCC